AACGAACGCUGGCGGCAUGCCUAACACAUGCAAGUCGAACGAGACCUUCGGGUCUAGUGGCGCACGGGUGCGUAACGCGUGGGAAUCUGCCCUUGGGUUCGGAAUAACAGUUAGAAAUGACUGCUAAUACCGGAUAAUGUCUUCGGACCAAAGAUUUAUCGCCCAGGGAUGAGCCCGCGUAGGAUUAGCUAGUUGGUGAGGUAAAGGCUCACCAAGGCGACGAUCCUUAGCUGGUCUGAGAGGAUGAUCAGCCACACUGGGACUGAGACACGGCCCAGACUCCUACGGGAGGCAGCAGUGGGGAAUAUUGGGACAAUGGGCGAAAGCCUGAUCCAGCAAUGCCGCGUGAGUGAUGAAGGCCUUAGGGUUGUAAAGCUCUUUUACCCGGGAUGAUAAUGACAGUACCGGGAGAAUAAGCCCCGGCUAACUCCGUGCCAGCAGCCGCGGUAAU
rnacentral:rRNA from 1 species